UACGUAGGUGGCAAGCGUUAUCCGGAUUUAUUGGGUGUAAAGGGCGUGUAGGCGGGAGCGCAAGUCAGAUGUGAAAACUCAGGGCUCAACCCUGAGCCUGCAUUUGAAACUGUGUUUCUUGAGUGCUGGAGAGGCAAUCGGAAUUCCGUGUGUAGCGGUGAAAUGCGUAGAUAUAUGGAGGAACACCGGUGGCGAAAGCGGCUUACUGGACUGUAACUGACGUUGAGGCUCGAAAGCGUGGGGAGCAAACAGG
rnacentral:rRNA from 1 species